rnacentral:lncRNA from 1 species
GGGGUUGUAUUGUAAAUUAGGGGCUUUAUUUUGUAAGGAAUUAUGGAAGGGAGGGCUAAAAUGCAAGUUUUGGGUUUCAUUUGAAAGAGAAUUGAAGGGUAGGGAGUAUUAUUGUCGUUAUGAGAAACUUGUAGAUGGACGCGGGUAUUUAAAGGGUGUGUAACCCUAACCCUAAUAGAUAACAAUCGCCGCUCCAUCCUUAUGCCUCCCUCCAGCCGCCACCAUUCACCUCUUCAAUCUCCGACGCCAUUGGUGAAGCCGGAACCGACGUCUACGCCCNNNNNNNNNNNNNNNNNNNNNNNNNNNNNNCGUUUCUUCUUCUUCUUCCGCCUUCUACCGCCAGCCGCAACACACCUCACGAUGGUCGUCGGUGUUCCUCCGACCGCGUAGCCUUACCGCGACGCUUCCGACGUCGUGCCGUUGUUGUUCUCGUUGAAGACCAAUCGUCGUCGGGCAUUAAUCUGUUGCAGCAGGCAGCCUCCCCGGUCAUUGGUGCACUGUUGUGGAUGCUUGUAUCGUUGCUUCCAUCUUCGUGGGUCUCCGCUGUCUUCCGUCCGACUGCCCCUCGUCGCCAUGGGGGCUGGCCGAGAUUGGUGCGUUUUUAGCAAUGGAUAUGCAUAUUUUGGUGUUAUGAGCAUGUUUAUUUGCUGAUAGAGUGUUUUAUGUGGUGUGUGAUGGCUGGAAAAACUAGAAAAGGCCGCUGCCACCACCGUGAGGUGGUGGCUGCCACCAUUCGCCGCCGCCGGCCACCAUAGGGUGGUUGUGCAUGUUUAAUUAGUGAAGUGUGUGUGUUUAUUUGUGAGUUCAUUGUAAAUUGUAAAGCAAUUGGAAUAAUGAAAGGAAAAAUCAAACCACCACCAUAGGGUGGUGGCUNCCACCGGCCGUCGUGUCGGGUGGCGGUGUGCUUGCUUUGUGAGAUUGAUUCGUUUAGGGUGCUUGUAAACCCUAAUGGGCCUUGUAAGCCCUAAUGGACCUAAUAAAACCCUAAUGGGCUUAAUAAUAUUCUAGUGGACUUAACUGGCCCAAUAAAGCCCUAAUUGAUCUAAAAGCCUAACAAAUUAAUUAAUGGACUAGUAUUGGGUUAGAAACCCUAAUGCCAUGAAACCCUAAUUUGGGGGAAUUAAUCGGGACACACAGAAAUUAUUUAAUAACUUGAGAUAUUAAAUAAUAAACAUUGGCAAAGAUUAAUCUAAACGAUAUUAGACUUAAUGGAUUAAAGUCCUUAGAGGAUUAAGUCCUUAAUGGGUUAAGUAGGAAACCUAACCCUAAUCAUCAUUUUAUGUGAAAUCCUAAUUUCACUUGGGUUUAUUGUUGGGCCUUGAUGAUUGGGUUAUUAAAUGGGCUAUCCAAGAUCAAGCAAAUGGUCUAGAGUAAUUCAAUGGGCCUAGGGUAAGGCCCAUGUAAGGGGCUUGGGCCCAAUUUGGAAAAUUAGGCCAUAGAUGGGCCAUAGUUGGGCCUUAAUGAUUAUAUGAUGGUGGGCCUUAGAAUGAGACCAUGUAUAGGCCUAGGCCCAAUUUGGAAAAUUGGGCCAUGUGUUGGGCUUUGAUUCCUGGUCGACUUUGGGCCUACGGAUUGGGCCUUGGGCUUGAAUAAACCAAGCUUGGGGUAAUGUAGUAAUUAUCCAAAGUAAGUGUUUAUGGUUAUGUAGUGGGACCCAAUUAUUAAUUGGGUUAUGUUUUGAUAUUGACAGAUCGGGAAUCUGUCAUUCAGCAGCUGGGGUUGAGUCUACGGGACUUCGGCAGUGUGGGAUUGUGUCUACGGGACUUCAGCAGUGUGAGGUGAGUUACCUUCCUGUAGCGGUGGGUCUACGGCAACAAUGCUGGCCCACCAGUAGGAGUUGUUGUUAGAUGAUUGUCUUUUUGAUAAUUGUCUAUGUUUGCUACUACCUGUUAGGUUUAGGUGCUAACAUGAUAUGAUGUUAUGUGAUAGUGGUGGUAGGGGUGAAAUAGUCCACGGUUACCGGUCGAUAGAGCCGAAGGGGUAGAUCAGUACCUAAAUAUGCUAGACAGAUUAUGAUAUAUGUGAUAUGAUAUUAUGUGGUAGUAGUAGGGGUGAAAUAGUCCCCACUUACCGGUCAACAGGACCGAAGGGGUAGGCCAGCACUCAGAAAUGCUAGGCAGUAUAUGACUUAUGUGUUUAUGCUAUGCUUUUAUGUGGAAGUGUUAGGGGUGAAAUAGUCCCCGGUUACCGGUUGAAAGAUACCGAAGGGGAGGCCAGCACCCAUAUAUGUUAGGCAGUAUCCGGUCGAGAGGACCGAAGGAAAGCCCAGCACCCAGGUAUGCUAGGCAGUAUCCGUUCGAGAGGGCCGAAGGGGAGGCUAGCACCCAGAUAUGCUAGGCAGUAUCCAGUCGAGAGGACUGAAGGGGUAGGUCGGGCACCCAGAUAUGCCUGACAGUAUAUGUAUGUUAUAUGAUCGUAUGGUAUGUGGUAUGAUGGGGGAAGUCACUAAGCUUUGUGCUUAUGGUUUUCAGUUUUGGUUUCAGGUUCUUCGUUUUCAAAGGAAAGGAGUCGGCUCAAUCGCAGCGCUUCACACUAUGUUUUCUGCACAUGGGAUCCUUGGGGAUUAAGCUCUGAUAUGGUUUUAGGAUACUAUGUUUUGGAUUACUGGCACUUGGGUUUUAACAUGAGACGUUAUUAUCAAAGUUUUUAUACUGAUGGUUUUAUGUAAUAACCUAAUUAAAAUGAAAUUCUUGGCCUGUAUUUUUUGGACGUUACAAGUUGGUAACAGAGCCUUGGUUUGAGGGAUUCAGACAUACUCUCGGGUGUGUCUGAACUCAAACUAAGGGCUUGGUAUGAAAAUUUUCAAAAGUAAAACCAUUUUAUAAAAAAGGAGUUGAAAAGAAUCUGAAAAGUGAAAAGAACUUUGAGAAGAACAAAGUGUGUGAUGCGUGCAAUCAGCCGAGCUCAAGUAAGUUUUCCCCAAGAUACCCAUACAUUUUAUGUUAUCGUAUCAUAUGAUAUGACUAUGAGAAUUGCAUGCUAGAUUAGGGCUAAGGAUCUAGGAGGAUGCCUUAUAUGCCUAUUGUAUGUGCUUGUAGACUUGCAUGCUAGUACUGAUCAGUCAGUGAUAGGAUAGCCUAUUUAGGUUAUGCCUGAUUGUAUGAGCAUUGGAAUUGCAUGUACAGAUUCCUGAUUAGAGGAUAGAAUGAUCUAAUUGGAAUAUGAUGGUUAGAUUUUCCAUUGUCUGAAUGUUGCUUGCUCUGUGCUUUGUGGGACUCUUAGUAAUGUGAGCUAACUAUUAAGUGAAUAUGCUAGGUCACAUGGGGCACAAGCCAGAUAAUAUCAGAGUGAGAGACUUGACCCUAUUGCGCAGCUCUUGUCUGAGUCCAACCGUUCUAGGGAUGGGUCUUUUACUCGAAGGAUUAUCUGAUCUCUGUUGCAUGUGGCUAUAUUCAUGAGGUAGCUAGUUGACAUUACUGGGAAUCUUUCAGCAGCUGAGGACUGGGUGAGUUCGGGAACCUAGGGAAGCCUAGGAUAUAUUUCAGUGAGUUAGUAGUGAGGUUCAGUGAGACUUGGGUGUACCAGUUUGAGGAAGUAACUUGGAGGAUUCGAAAGGAUUGUUGAGGAAAGUAUGGAUAGGUGUGGAAGGUAGUAUUGGGCCCGUACUACUGAAAGCAUAGGAUCCAUACUCGAAUCAGUGAGAGUCUUGGAGAAUCUAAGAAACUUCAGGGAAGAGUUUGUGACCCAGUUUGGGGACAGAGGAUGUUCCUGUUGUUGUAGCUUAGCCAUUGGCAAGCGAGCUAGUGAGCGUGACAGGGUUUCAGACCCUGAAGGAUAUGAUUUCCUAGAGUUGCAGAUGCGGGAUCGAUUUGGAGCACCCUGGAAAGAGAGGGUUGUGCCAGGUGUGUAUAGUAGAGGGUCCCAGGAAGAGACCCAAGACUUCUGAUCAUCAGGUGAAAGUCCAGUAGGGCCGGAGUCAGUGCAGCACGUAUAGGAAAGUGCACAAAGGAGUUUGUCACUCCAAGGUUUAGGUUGCCACAAGGUAGCUGGGUUGGUCAUGUUGGCAGAAGGUGAUCAAUAUUCCUCCAUAUUUUGCGAGUAUGUCAUCUUCUAUUGCUACUAGAUGGAUGUUUGGAAUGCAUACCGCUUUGGAAUUAUGAGUGAGUUUGGAUAAGUCAGACCUCGGGUCGGUUUUUCUGCUAGUGUUUGGGUUACCAAGGAUCAUAUAUGCCAUCCUGCAUGCCGAAAGGUCCUUGAUGAACCCACAGAAGGACGCAUCUUGCGGAGUGGGUUCCGCGUGUACCGUUAUCAUUCCAGAUCUUUGUCUAGAUCUGUGCAGGAGUAUUAUUUAGAGGAUACUCGAUCAGGGUUGGAGUGAUUGUUCUCCAAUGAAGUCAGCAUUCAGAGGUUCUAUCAUUGUUCAGUAUGGUCGGCAAUUGUUUAUGGAUGAACUUUGGAGUUCAAGGCACUACCGUUGCUAGGACAGAACUGAUGACAGGAAGAGGGUAGUGUCAGUCGUGGGUGUUAGAUGAAUAAGUGGUUGGUCAUCGGAUGUUCAAGAGAAUUGUGUUUUCGCUUAGGCUGUGUUCGGUUAGAGUUCAGUGGUACUGCAAGAUUGGGAGUGGGAACGAGGAUUCGUCAGCUAGAGUGAAGAUUAAGGUCUUCAAUUGAUAACAUGUUAGAUGGAUUGAGGUGUCAGACUGGAUCAGAUUUCAGGAGUACUCAUUGAGAUUUCCGAGGAUGGGAGAUCUCAAGGUUUAAUCGGCGAUUAAGAGCUAACAUUGGCGGGCACAUGAUGUCAUCAGUGGGAUAUUAGAAAGCGAGAAGGAUUGGGAAUCCUUCAAUUCUCAUGUAAUGUGAAGACUUAGUCGAAUCUAAGUAGGAGAGACUUCUUAUAGAGUUCUUCAACUGUGAGUUCUGGUUGCGCAAGGUGCAAUCUCUUGGCCACCUUGUCAACCAGAAGGGUAUUCUAGUUAUUUCGGCCAAGAUAGAGGUCGUGAUGCGGUGGGAGAUUCCGAGGUCUCCAUCUGAGAUUUGGAAUUCCCUGGGUCUAGCAGGUUAUUACUAGAGAUUUACAUGGGACUUCUCCGAGAUUGCAGUUCUUUUUACCCGACUGAUCAAGAAGUAGGUGGUCUUUCUUUGGGGGCCUGAGCAGCAAGCAGCCUUCAAGACUCUCGGACAACGGCUGUGCGAGACCCUGAUUCUCACCCUGCCAGAGGGUGUAGAUGAUUUCGUGGUUUACUAUGACGCUUUGAUCAUGGGCAUGAGUGCGGUACUGAUUCAGUGGGCUCACGUGAUAGCAGGUUUCAGGAACCAGGUUAGAGUCCCGGUUAGGACUCAAGUUUAGUGAUGUGUUAGGUCGAGUGUGUGUUCGACCCGGUUUGGGAAGUUUUGUAAUACUGCGGGGGUAGCCGUAGCAUUCACUAGUGGUCAGUUAGCAUGGGAAGUGUUGUAAGACUACGGGGGUAGCCGUAGCAUUCACUAGUGGUAAGUUAGCAUGGGAAGUGUUGUAAGAUUGCGAGGGUAGCCGUAGCAUUCACUUGGUUGGCACAUAUGGCAUGAGCACGUUGUUAGGACGCAGAAUGAACAGUAGGCCCACCAGUUCGGGUGUAGCAGUGAGGAUAUGGGAAUCCACAGAUUGGAUUCGGAAUUACCCAGAUGGAUUAGGUUUGGUUGAGCCAAUGAUGAGACUGUAGGAGCGCCACUACAGUUAUGAGAUCAGGGAAGCAAUGGAUUGCUUAAGGUCGUUUGUGAUGUAAGACUACCAUUGGUUAGGUAGCAAUCACUUUUAGUCUUGGAUUGGAUGACGUCAGGAUUCGACACAUGGGCCCGAUCGGUUGUAUUAGGAGGUUAUUAGAGCCACAGUGGCAUGAUAACUAGUGACAACUAGUUCCAGAGAAGGAUUUCGUUCAGACGUCGUGUGAGGUCACUAAGUAGGGAGUCCUUUGGCUCCGCAGCCGGGUGGAAACCCAGUAUUUCAGAGGAUUGGAAAGCGAAUUGAGACCCAGGAGGUCUCGGUAUCUUUUGGUAAGCAGCUAUGUAGUAGCGUAUACUGCUUCAGGCAGUUCAGUGUUCGGGCAGUUUCAACAUUUGGGCAUUGAUAGUAUGUGUGUUUUACUUGCAUAUGCGCACGGAAUACCUGGUUUAUUGGGGAGUGACAAGUCACUCACAGCGGGAUUAGCUGAGCCUUAGCCGAGAAUAAGUGAUCUGCAGAGGUAAUUGGGUUUGUGACCCAGGUUUAUGCUGGGAACCACAUGCUAUCAGAAGUCAAGUAGUCAGUUGAGGGAUAAGUGGGCUUGUUCUAUCGGUAAUGAUUUAGUAUGAGUGGUCUACCAGGGAUUCAGACCAUCUCGAGACAGCAAAUUUCGAAUAGAGUACAUGUGGUCUUGUUGCAAGGAAUUCGGCACCUACGGAUUUUAGGGCUUUACGAGGAUUGGUCAUGGCUACCCUGGGAAGGCUAGGGCGUGCCCAGAUUGGUGACCAUGCUACUAGAGUGGUUGGGCGAGCAAGGAAUGGUAAGGAAUGAUUUCGAGGACGAAAUCUAAUUUAAGUGGGGGAGAGUUGUAAUACCCUGUUUAUUUAUUAGAUAAAUAAAUAAAUAAUGAUCAAAUGGUAGCCCUAAAAUAAAUAAUUACAUAUCAAAGGAUGGUCUCGAGGAGCUAAUUGUCACAAGUUUAGAAGAUGGAGGUUAAAAGUGUAAAAUAUGGAUUUAAUUUAUAAGUAUUAAUGAAGUCAGGGACUAAAUUGUAACUUCUGGACUUCAUUUGAAGGGAUUUUAGAGGCUUAGGGGUUGUAAUGUAAAUUAGGGGCUUUAUUUUGUAAGGAAUUAUGGAAGGGAGGGCUAAAAUGUAGGUUUUGGGUUUCAUUUGAAAGAGAAUUGAAAGGCAGGGAGUAUUAUUGUCGUUAUGGGAAACUAUUAGAUGGAGGCGGGUAUUUAAAGGGUGUGUAACCCUAACACUAAGAGAUAAUAGUCAUCGCUCCAUCCUUAUGCCUCCCUCCAGCCGCCACCAUUCACCUCUUCAAUCUCCGACGCCAUUGGUGAAGCCAGAACCGACGAUCUACGCCCCCUGCUCCAC